GACGGAGGGGGCAAGCGUUGUUCGGAUUUAUUGGGCGUAAAGAGCUCGUAGGCGGCUUGUUGCGUCGUCCGUGAAAACCUGUGGCUCAACUACAGACUUGCGGUCGAUACGGGCGGGCUGGAGUUCGGUAGGGGAGACUGGAAUUCCUGGUGUAGCGGUGAAAUGCGCAGAUAUCAGGAGGAACACCGGUGGCGAAGGCGGGUCUCUGGGCCGAUACUGACGCUGAGGAGCGAAAGCGUGGGGAGCGAACAGG
rnacentral:rRNA from 1 species